AUGGGUGCCGCCUUAAAUCAUCAGCACAUGAGUGGUUGCCUGAUCAAAUGCUCACCCUGGACGGCCUGCUCGCCAAAGUGGUUACGCCGAGUUAUAGCUACUGGGCCACCGUCUCGCCGCUCUGGGUGUGGUGUCACUCCUGUUCCCGACAUCAGUAAUCAAUAUGUUGACUUGGCACUUCCAUUUGCGACAUACCUGGUAAUUGUCGAAGAGUUGGAUGAUUGUAAGCCGGAUGUACCAUUAACAACAAUGGUGAGGAUGGAUUGGGGAGACGAAGAUUACAGGAGGACAAAGAAGGAGGAGGAGGAUUUCAAGGUAAAAAGAUCGACAAUGCUAUUUGAUGUGCAUGAGGAUCCUAAACAAAACAUAAUUGAUGUGAAACCAAUAGGAUAUUUAUGCCCCGUUGCAACGCACGGGCAAUUACCUAAUUUUUAUUGA
rnacentral:rRNA from 1 species